GAUGAACGCUCGCGAUAGGCUUAACACAUGCAAGUCGAGGGGCAGCAUGGUCUUAGCUUGCUAAGGCUGAUGGCGACCGGCGCACGGGUGCGUAACGCGUAUGCAACUUGCCUCACAGAGGGGGAUAACCCGUCGAAAGACGGACUAAUACCGCGUACACUCUAUGUUGGGCAUCCAAUGUAGUGGAAAUGAAAUUCGCUGUGAGAUAGGCAUGCGUCCCAUUAGCUAGUUGGUGAGGUAACGGCUCACCAAGGCGACGAUGGGUAGGGGAACUGAGAGGUUGAACCCCCACACUGGUACUGAGACACGGACCAGACUCCUACGGGAGGCAGCAGUGAGGAAUAUUGGUCAAUGGGCGAGAGCCUGAACCAGCCAAGUCGCGUGAAGGAUGACUGUCUUAUGGAUUGUAAACUUCUUUUAUACGGGAAUAACAAGAGUCACGUGUGGCUCCCUGCAUGUACCGUAUGAAUAAGCAUCGGCUAACUCCGUG
rnacentral:rRNA from 1 species